GGCUGAGGCGAGAGGUAGCUGUCCGGGUGGGGAGCCCGCACUACCUUCUUCCUCUUCCUCCUCCUCCUCCGGGUGAGGGGAGCGAAGGUUGGGGGUCCCCGAGCCCAUGGACCAGGAGGAGGCGGAGGCCGCCGAGAGCCGGGGCCCCGCUAUGUGGCCCUGAGCCCCGUGUACUGGUUCUGCCUGUCUGGAGGGCCAUGGAGAAGAGGCUGGGAGUCAAGCCAAAUCCUGCUUCCUGGAUUUUAUCAGGAUAUUAUUGGCAGACAUCUGCGAAGUGGUUGAGAAGCCUGUACCUGUUUUAUACUUGCUUUUGCUUCAGCGUUCUGUGGUUGUCAACAGGUCCACAAGGCGAUUACAAUUUCCAGUCCCCUAACCACAGACCUGACUGCAGAGCUGUCUGGUGGGCCAAAGAAUGUAUCAGUGCAACCUGAAAUAUCAGAGGGUCUUGCUACUACGCCCAGCACUCAACAAGUAAAAAGUUCUGAGAAAACCCAGAUUGCUGUCCCCCAGCCAGUGGCUCCCUCCUACAGUUAUGCUACCCCUACCCCCCAGGCCUCUUUCCAGAGCACCUCAGCACCAUACCCAGUUAUAAAGGAACUGGUGGUAUCUGCUGGAGAGAGUGUCCAGAUAACCCUGCCUAAGAAUGAAGUUCAAUUAAAUGCAUAUGUUCUCCAAGAACCACCUAAAGGAGAAACCUACACCUACGACUGGCAGCUGAUUACUCAUCCUAGAGACUACAGUGGAGAAAUGGAAGGGAAACAUUCCCAGAUCCUCAAACUAUCGAAGCUCACUCCAGGCCUGUAUGAAUUCAAAGUGAUUGUAGAGGGUCAAAAUGCCCAUGGGGAAGGCUAUGUGAACGUGACAGUCAAGCC
rnacentral:lncRNA from 10 species